AACGCACAUUGCGCCUCUCUUUACAGGGAGGCAUGCCUGUCUGAGCGUCAUUUAAAUCAAUGGACAUUGUUCGUGUUGAGCUUCACGUUUACGUGUUGCUUUAAAGUGAUGGAUCUAGAUUAACGGAUGAGCUCCUCUAGGACUAACCGUAAAUCUGACGAAUAUUUUUCUGAAUUUGACCUCAGAUCAGGUAGGAAGACCGCCUGAACUUAA
rnacentral:misc_RNA from 1 species